CGACGAGUCACCAUGGCAACGGGGAAGCAGAGGACUACACCAUUUGAAUUGGAAAUCUUAAUGCGCUUAUAUAGCGAGUUUGAACAUGUUUUUAGAAAGAAGUGCAGCACCUGCAGCUGCAAAAGAGAGGAAGACUGUCAGAGGACUCUAAGCGGCUACUCUCCAACCAGGAACCGCUCGCUGUGAUGAACGACACGGAGGCUUCUUUGUACUUGCAGCAAAGGGGAGAAGCGCAUGUGGCAGCAGCUGAAGAUGAAAUAUAAGAACAUUUUUAAAACAGAUUCUGAUGGUACUAUCUGCCUGGUGGAGUCCCUUCACACCACAACAGACCUUGUAACUGUAAGUAGGCAAUACUCCAGAGAUUUAGCCAGAUGGUAGUUUAAGUCUACUGAAACAUAUUCAAAUGGUAGUUUAAGUCUACUGAAACAUAUCACUCAUCUAGGAUGAAGAGGAUGAAACUGUGUCUGCUGCCUUUACAGAGGGGGAUCCAGAAAGGCACACAGAGAGCAUGGCUGGACAGCAGCAGGAUGCUUCCUCAACUUCCACUGCACAGACUGACACAGUGAGAUGGAUGUUCAGUAAACACCAGAGGUUCAGUCCAUGGAAUUCACGUGCAACUGUAUAAUUUAAUGUCCUUUAUGUAUUCCCAGUUACCAGUAAAACAAAUAUACAAAAUCCACUUGCUGAGAAAAAUCCAAAAAACAGAUAAAGAAAUGCAGUACUUGGACCACCAGAUUAAGAAGGCAGAUCUGGAAAUUGAAAUACUGGAGCACAAGUUAGAGGUGGAUGCAGGUCACAGGUGAAUUAUGUUAACUACUGGAACAUGAACUAAACUAGCUCUUUUAUUUGUAGGAAAUAAAGAAGACCAAAUGAAAUGUGUGUCGUGUUUAUUUCACUGCUGUGGUGGUGAUGAUGGAGACUUAAUCUCUGCAGUGAUUAUUGCAUAUGGUGUCUCUGACUGCUCUGCUGUCCUGAUAGCUGGCAGGUGGAUGAGGUCAUCAUCUGGGUCUUCAGUUUGUAGGGCAGAGUGUUGCUCUCCUCUAAUAGUGGCAAUAUUAUGAAGAACAACACAUGCCACAAUAAUAUCACAGGCCUCUCAGGAGUCACCCUGAGGUGAUGUAGACACUGGAAACAG
ensembl:lncRNA